rnacentral:lncRNA from 7 species
GCUAGUGAUGUGUUCAUGGCAACCAGCAGGUCAGGAGAGCUGGUAUACAGAGGAAUGGGAGCAGCUGAAAAUAGCUGAAAAUAAGAACAGAAAAGAAGUUGCCUGAGAGUUGUUCUCAGCCUCCUCUGCAGUCUCGUGGUUACUCUGACGACUUCACUCUGCUGUGGCUCAGCAUGACAGCCUGUACCUGGAAAUGAUCUCCUCUGAAGCAGAAGCACAGAGGACUCUGCUCCUGAGGAGCGGUGCAUAUCCCAGCCUCACACAGCUGAGAGCUCCGACCGGGGACCGGCACGAUAGCAUCUCGCUGUACAGAUUCCCUGCAAAUGAGAUCGCUGCCAGGGCUCUUCGACCAGGGCAGCUUCUCAGCUCCCACUCUGCUCUGACCUCAGCACAGAAAGGAUUUGAAGCACUUGAAGAUACCCUUGGAUUCGGGAUCUACACAGAACCUCAGCAAAAUGGAAGUUCCUAGGAGCAAAUUCCUUCCUAAAGUUUGCACAGCAGCCUGGGGCAGUCCCUGACUGAUUUGCAAACCUGGAGACAGAGCCCUGUUCUGCAUCCUGCCCUGAAGACUUCACCCAGUGAACCAACAGCCACACACUCAAAGCACGGGUAUCUAAUAACAAGUCUUUCACC